rnacentral:rRNA from 1 species
UGAGUGGCGGACGGGUGAGUAACGCGUGGGCAACCUGGCCUGUACGAGGGGGAUAACACUUAGAAAUAGGUGCUAAUACCGCAGUAACGGGAGAAGCCGCAUGGUCUUUUUCCUAGAAAACUCCGGUGGUACAGGAUGGGCCCGCGUCUGAUUAGCCAGUUGGCAGGGUAACGGCCUACCAAAGCGACGAUCAGUAGCCGGCCUGAGAGGGCGGACGGCCACACUGGGACUGAGACACGGCCCAGACUCCUACGGAAGGCAGCAG